rnacentral:misc_RNA from 1 species
GAUGAAGAACGUAGCGAAAUGCGAUAAGUAAUGUGAAUUGCAGAAUUCAGUGAAUCAUCGAAUCUUUGAACGCACAUUGCGCCCCUUGGUAUUCCGAGGGGCAUGCCCGUUCGAGCGUCAUUAUACCCCUCAAGCCUAGCUUGGUGUUGGGGCCUGCUGUUACCGGCAGCCCUUAAAAUCAGUGGCGGUGCCAUCUGGCUCUAAGCGUAGUAAUACUUCUCGCUACAGGGUCCCGGUGGAUGCUUGCCAUCAACCCCUAAUUUUCUAUGGUUGACCUCGGAUCGGGUAGGGAUACACGCUGAACUUAAGCAUAUCAAUAAGCGGAGGA